rnacentral:rRNA from 1 species
UGCGUAGGUGGUUCUGUGUGUCGGAUGUGAAAUGUCACCGCUCAACGGUGAAAGGACAUUCGAAACUGCAGUACUAGAGUGCAGGAGAGGAGAGCGGAAUUCUUGGUGUAGCGGUGGAAUGCGUUGAUAUCAAGAAGAACACCGGUGGCGAAGGCGGCUCUCUGGAAUGUUACUGACGCUGAGGCACGAAAGCGUGGGGAGCGAACAGGAUUAGAUACCCUGGUAGUCC